AUAUAAAUCAGUUACAGCCAUCGGUGAAUGCCUUGGCGUCAACAGGCGAUGAAGGACGCAGUAAGCUGCGAUAAGCUUCGGGGAGCGGCAAACACGCUUUGAUCCGGAGAUUUCCGAAUGGGGCAACCCGGCAUCCUUUACAGGGUGUCACCACAACCCAAAUAAAUAAGGUUGUGCGUGCAAUACGUGGAGAAGUGAAACAUCUCAGUAUCCACAGGAAAAUAAUGAGAAUCGAUUCCGUAAGUAGUGGCGAGCGAAAGCGGAACAGCCCAAACCAUCGAGAUUUAUCUCGGCGGGGUUGUAGGACCACAAUGUAGACUAGAUGAAGUUAGGGUAACGCUCUGGAAAGUGCGACUAAAAAGGGUGAUAGUCCCGUGCCCGAAAACUUUAUCUUACUUAGUGGAAUCCUGAGUAGCACCGGACACGUGAAAUCCGGUGUGAAUCCAUGCCGACCACGGCAUAAGGCUAAAUACUCGUUGACGACCGAUAGUGAACUAGUACCGCGAGGGAAAGGUGAAAAGCACCCCUGUUAGGGGAGUGAAAUAGUAACUGCAACCGAUGGCUAACAAGUCAGUGGGAGCACCUUUAUGGUGUGACCGCCUGCCUUUUGUAUAAUGAGUCUGCGAGUUAUUGCCCGUAGCAAGCAUAAGCCGCUAAGCGGUGUAUGCGUAGCGAAAGCGAGUCCAAAUAGGGCGACAUAGUUGCUGGCAAUAGACCCGAAGGGGAGGUGAUCUAACCAUGGCCAGGAUGAAGCUUCGGUAAAACGAAGUGAAGGUCCGAACCGGUCAACCUUGAGAAGUUGUCGGAUGAGCUGUGGUUAGGAGCGAAAGACUAAUCAAACCCCCUGAUAGCUGGUUCUUUCCGAAAUAUAUUUGGGUAUAGCGUCGGAUGCUGACUUGCGGAGGUAGAGCACUAAAUAAGCUAGGGCCCCUACCGGGGUACUGAACUUAAUUAAACUCCGAAUACCGCAGGGUGAAGUCCGGCAGUCAGACAGUGGGGGCUAACCUCCAUUGUCGAGAGGAGAAUAAUCCAGACCAUCAGUUAAGGUCCCAAAAUACGGCUCAGUGUAAAAGGAUGUGAAUUUACUUAGACAAUGGGGAUGUUGGCUUAGAGGCAGCCAUCAUUUAAACAGUGCGUAACAGCUGACCCAUCGAGUGAAUUUGCGCCGAAAAUGAUCGGGACUUAAGCCGUAUACCGAAGCUAUGGCUUUGCCGCAAGGCAAGGAGUAGGAAAGCGUUCCAAGUGCAGCGAAGCAGAAGGGUAACCAACUGUGGAGCGCUUGGAAGUGAGAAUGCAGACAUAAGUAACGAUAAAGAUGGUUAAAUUCCAUCUCGCCUUAAUUCCAAGGUUUCCUGGGGAAGGCUCGUCCUCCCAGGGUUAGUCGGGUGCUAAGAUGAGGCCGUAAGGAGUAUUCGAUGCCAAGCAGGUUUAAUAUUCCUGCACCACCAUUGAUAUGUUCGACCUAAGGAGUGACGGAGAAGGUUAGUACAGCAACGUGUUGAAUCGUUGUCCAAGUUGUUAGGUUCGCCGGGGAUAAAAGACCGGCUCAAGCUGAUCAACGAUGGGAUUCCAAAGCUACGGCUAAGGGAGAUUGUCCGAUACCAUGCUUCCAAGAAAAACUUCGUAGUUAGUAUCAAGGGUGCCCGUACCGUAAACCGACACAGGUGGAAUAGAUGAGUAUUCUAAGGCGCGCGAGUGAAAUCUCUCUAAGGAACUCGGCAAAUUGAUCCCGUAUCUUUGGUAUAAGGGAUGCCCCGCGAGGGGUCGCAGAUAAGAGCGUCAACCGACUGUUUAGCAAAAACACAGCUCUCUGCUAAGACGUAAGUCGAUGUAUAGGGAGUGACACGUGACCAAUGCGGAAAGGUGAAAGCGUAGGGUGCAAGCUCUGCGUCUAAGCCCCCGUGAAUGUCGGCCGUAACUAUAACGGUCCUAAGGUAGCGAAAUUCCUUGUCGGGUAAGUUCCGACCCGCACGAAUCGUGUAACGAGUUGACGACUGUCUCGGAGAGAAGCUCGGUGAAAUUGUAGUGGCGGUGAAGAUGCCGCCUACCCGCAGCAGGACGGAAAGACCCUAUGCACCUUUACUGUAAGCUGUUAUUGUCGCUUGACUUCCAAUGCGUAGAAUAGGUGGGAGACUUUGAAGCUUGGUUUCAGGACCGAGCUGAGUCGCAAUAUGAAAUACCACUCUUUGUUGGUUAGGCGUCUAACCUUUAGCCAUAAUCUGGCAAAGGGACCGUGAUAGCAGGUCAGUUUUUCUGGGGCGGAAUCCUCCCAAAAAGUAACGGAGGAUUACGAAGGUUCCCUCGGCCCGGUCGGUAAUCGGGCUAUAGAGCGCAUGAGUAUAAGGGAGCUUAACUGUGAGACCAACAAGUCGAUCAGAUGCGAAAGCAGGUUCAAGUGAUCCGGUGGUUGAAUGUGGAAUCGCCAUCGCUCAUAGGACAAAAGGUACGCUAGGGAUAACAGGCUGAUCGCGCCCAAGCGUUCACAGCGACGGCGCGGUUUGGCACCUCGAUGUCGGCUCAUCACAUCCUGGGGCUGGAGAAGGUCCCAAGGGUUCGGCUGUUCGCCGAUUAAAGUGGUACGCGAGCUGGGUUCAGAACGUCGUGAGACAGUUCGGUCCUCUAUCCGCUGUGGGCGUUUGUGAUUUGAGGGGUUCAUUCUCUAGUACGAGAGGACCGAGAAUGACGAACCGCUGGUGUUCCGGUUGUCGCGUCAGCGGCAGCGCCGGGUAGCUAUGUUCGGAAGGGAUAAGCGCUGAAAGCAUCUAAGCGCCAAGCCCAUCCCAAGAUAAGAUCACAAUCUGUCGCAAGACAGUGCAGGGUCCGGGUAGACCACCCGGUUGAUAGGGCAGAAAUGCAAGCGCAGCAAUGCGUUCAGUUUACUGCUACUAAUGACCCUGCGGAUUUAUAAUA
rfam:Verrucomicrobia bacterium IMCC26134, complete genome.